GAUCAUGGCUCAGGACGAACGCUGGCGGCGUGCUUAACACAUGCAAGUCGAACGAGAAUCUGUGGAAAGAGGAUUCGUCCAAUUGAAACAGAGGACAGUGGCGGACGGGUGAGUAACGCGUGAGGAACCUGCCUUUCAGAGGGGGGACAACAGUUGGAAACGACUGCUAAUACCGCAUAACACAUUGAGGUCGCAUGGGCCUUAAUGUCAAAGAUUUAUCGCUGAAAGAUGG
rnacentral:rRNA from 1 species